rnacentral:rRNA from 1 species
CGUGAGCAAUCUGCCUUGGAGUGGGGAAUAACGGCUGGAAACAGCCGCUAAUACCGCAUGAUACAGCUGGGAGGCAUCUCCCUGGCUGUCAAAGAUUUAUCGCUCUGAGAUGAGCUCGCGUCUGAUUAGCUAGUUGGCGGGGUAACGGCCCACCAAGGCGACGAUGCGUAGGGGUUCUGAGAGGAAGGUCCCCCACAUUGGAACUGAGACACGGCCCAAACUCCUACGGGAGGCAGCAG